rnacentral:tRNA from 1 species
GCCUUCAUUGUGCAGUGGUCAGUACGCUCGGCGCGUAACCGAAAGGUCCGUGGUUCGAGUCCCGGCGAGGGCA